rnacentral:rRNA from 1 species
CAGUCGCCACGGGAAUACGAAGGGGGCUAGCGUUGCUCGGAAUGACUGGGCGUAAAGGGCGCGUAGGCGGAUUGCGCAGUCAGAUGUGAAAUUCCUGGGCUUAACCUGGGGGCUGCAUUUGAGACGCGUAGUCUAGAGUGUGAAAGAGGGUCGUGGAAUUCCCAGUGUAGAGGUGAAAUUCGUAGAUAUUCGGAAGAACACCAGUGGCGAAGGCGACUCACUGGCCCGUUACUGACGCUGAGGCGCGAAAGCGUGGGGAGCAAACAGGAUUAGAUACCCCAGUAGUCCCUGUCUCUUAUAC